rnacentral:rRNA from 1 species
UACGGGGUGCAGCAGGCGCGAAAACUUGACAAUGCGAGAAAUCGUGAUCAGGGGACUCCAGUUGGCUGGACCAAAAGUCCAGUCUGAACCGACUUUAAAUCGGUCGGGUUAAUAGGGGCGGGAAAGACCGGUGCCAGCCGCCGCGGUAAUACCGGCGCCCCAAGUGGUCGUCACUAUUAUUGGGCCUAAAACGUCCGUAGCCGGUUUGGUAAAUCCGUGGGUAAAUCAGACAGCCUAACUGUCAGAAUUCUGCGGGGACUGCCAAACUUGAGACCGGGAGAGGUACGGGGUACCUGCGGGGUAGCGGUAAAAUGCGAUCAUCCCGUAGGGACCACCUGUUGCGAAGGCGCCGUACUAGAACGGAUCUGACGGUCAGGGACGAAGCCUAGGGGCACGAACCGGAUUAGAUACCCGGGUAGUCCUAGGUGUAAACGCUGUGGACUUGGUGUCGGGGACUUUCAGAGAGUCUCCGGUGCCGGAGUGAAGAUGUUAAGUCCACUGCCUGGGGAGUACGGUCGCAAGGCUGAAACUUAAAGGAAUUGGCGGGGGAGCAC